rnacentral:rRNA from 1 species
UACAGAGGUCUCAAGCGUUGUUCGGAUUCAUUGGGCGUAAAGGGUGCGUAGGCGGCGCGGUAAGUCGGGUGUGAAAUCUCGGAGCUUAACUCCGAAACUGCAUUCGAUACUGCCGUGCUUGAGGACUGGAGAGGAGACUGGAAUUUACGGUGUAGCGGUGAAAUGCGUAGAUAUCGUAAGGAAAGACCAGUGGCGAAGGCGGGUCUCUGGACAGUUUCCUGACGCUGAGGGCACGAAGGUCAGGGAGCAAACGGG